rnacentral:rRNA from 1 species
AACGAACGCUGGCGGCAUGCCUAACACAUGCAAGUCGAACGAUACCAUCGGGUCUGGUGGCGCACGGGUGCGUAACGCGUGGUAACCUACCCUUAGGUUCGGAAUAACUCCCCGAAAGUGGUGCUAAGACCGGAUAAUAUCUUCUGACCAAAGAUUUAUCGACGUGGGAUGGGCCCGCGUUGGAUUAGCUAGUUCGUAGGGUAAAAGCCUACCAAGGCGGCGAUACAUAGCUGGUCUGAGAGGAUGAUCAGACACACUGGGGCUGAGACACGGCCCGGACUCCUACACGAGGGAGCAGUGGGGAAUAUAGGAAUGUGGGCGGAAGGCUGAUCGAGCUAUGCCGCGUGAGUGAUGAAGGACUUAGGGUUGUAAAGCUCGUUUACACGGGAUGAUAAUGACAGUACCGGAAGAAUAAGCUCCGGCUAACUACGUG